CUCUUGUGCAAUAGAUGGAUCUCGUUCAACGCAUUGAAGCCUCCCGGUCGCUCGCAAUCGCGAAAAGGAAGACAUGACCGAGUUUGACGAUUGCAGUCACGGCGCAUCCAAUAUGUAUCUGCCAGGGUGCGCUUAUUACGUCUCGCCCUCAGACUUCUCGACGAAACCCUCUUUUUUGUCGCAAUCGUCUUCCUGUCAAAUGACUUUUCCUUAUUCUUCUAAUUUACCUCAUGUCCAACCUGUGCGCGAAGUGGCAUUCAGGGAAUACGGAUUAGAGCGCGGCAAAUGGCAGUACAGGGGCAGUUACGCUCCCUAUUACUCAGCUGAAGAGGUGAUGCACAGAGACUUUCUGCAGCCCGCGAACAGGAGGACGGAAAUGCUAUUCAAAACGGACCCCGUGUGCGGCCACCACGGAGCGUCCCCCGCCGCCUCCAACUUCUACGGCUCGGUGGGGAGGAACGGCAUCCUGCCGCAGGGCUUCGACCAGUUCUACGAGCCGGCCCCCGCGCCCCCGUACCAGCAGCACUCCGAGGGCGAGGGGGACGCGGACAAGGGCGAGCUGAAGCCCCAGCACAGCGCCUGCAGCAAGGCACCUUCCGGCCAGGAGAAGAAAGUGACAACGGCGAGCGGCGCCGCUUCCCCUCCCGGUGAGGCUGUUGCAGAGAAGAGCAACAGUUCAGCAGUUCCUCAGCGAUCGAGGAAAAAGAGGUGUCCCUAUACCAAAUAUCAGAUAAGAGAACUGGAACGUGAGUUUUUCUUCAACGUGUACAUAAACAAAGAGAAAAGACUGCAGUUGUCCAGAAUGCUCAACCUCACUGACCGGCAAGUUAAAAUCUGGUUCCAGAAUCGAAGGAUGAAAGAAAAGAAACUGAACAGAGAUCGACUCCAAUACUUCACUGGAAAUCCCUUGUUUUGAGGAGGAAAAAAAGAAAGAAAAAAAAAAGAAAGGAAAAAAAAAAGAAAGGAAAAAAUGUAAAAAAAAAAAAAAUCGAAAGAGAAAGAGAAAAGGAAGAAAGAAGAAGAAGCAAAGAAUCCCUCGGUCAGUGUGACCUGCCAUCCGAAUGCCAAGUGAAUGGGUUUACAUGACACAGCCGCCCUGCGGAACUCAAAGUUUCAUUUCCAUGCGCAGCUCCACACGCUGAAUGGCCACAGGAGAUUUCGGGGCUUGGCGGAGCAGAUUCCUGCUAAGGGAACCUAGAGUAAAGCCAGCUGUCUAUUCUCAAGUGGUUCUCGCCAAAGGACGGAGCGGCUCUCGCUACGCUCGCGUUCGCGGAAGGCAAAAGUGCGCAAACGAGUCGGGAACGGCCCCGGAAUUAAGAAAAAAAAACGGAGAGAAAGAAGCGGAGGGAGGCGCGGCUGAGAAGGGAAAAAAUUUAAAAACCCCUUAGCAAGAAAAACAUAAGUGUAUGCCUUUGAACUUCCAAAAUGUCAAGGUCAUCACCUUUAACCUUUCGGAAUAAUUAGGCGCCUUAAGGUUCCUCUGCUAUUUUCCACCACCACCCACCCUCUCUCUGUCUCCCUCUCUCUCGCUCACCCUCCCGCCCCACACACGCACACACGGCAGCGCCCCGCAACGCGCAGCGCCCGCCCGGCCGAGGGGAGCGGCUCCGCGGUGCGGAAAGCCCUGCCGGCCCCGCGUCCCGACCCUUCCCCUGCCGGGCCCGGCUAUUCCCCGACCACCUUCUUCUCUUUUAUUGGAAAGGAAAUAAUCCUAAAGAAACGAACGCUGCUUUUGUCGCUCCGAGUAAAACGCGGAGGCGGCGAGAAACGCUCGGCAACGGAGCGAGAAGGGUGCGAUUUCGGCAGCUUCCCCCCGGCUGCGCGUUCCCCACAAAGCCCAUUAAUUAGGAGCGCUCGGAGCGGCGCGGAUUUCAUUCCUCCCGACCUUCCAGCAGCGUUCUCGCGUCUCUCCCGAGUCCCAAUCCGCAGCGCGAGAGCAGGGCGUUCGCUUUCCGUUCCCCGCGGUGCUCUAAGCGGCCGUCUUAAGGGAUUCGGAUCCCUUUAAAAAGCUCCCACACCGCAAAAGAGGGCCGCGGAAACCUAACCAGCCCGGCAUUAAUCUUGCAUAAAUGCUCAAUUAUAGCAGCUUUAGGUUUCUAUUUAAAAAAAGAAAGGGAGAAAGCCGUGACCGACAGCGAAUGGAGCGGCCGGGAGGGAGGCGGCUGCUCCUCCACCCGGAGCCACACGAGGGCGCAUCGCUGCUGCGCAGCGCCGUCCUCGUGCUCCGGUAUAUUUCCUCCUAAUAAUAAUUCCACCGCUAAUAAAACAUCUAAUAUAUAAGUAACGAGAAGAUUUCAGGGCCUUCCAAAUGAGAAAAUAAAGCAUCAAAAAGAUUUAUUAAACAAAUAACCCGUAACCGUGACGUGCCCGAGAAAUAUGCCAAUUUAAAAGAAAUUUUGGUGCUCGUAAUCUUUUAUAACGCAUCCGAGCUUUAAAAAAAUCCCAUAAUUUUAAGGGGAAAAAAAAGAAAGCCCCACCGAUACUCAGAAUUCGUUCCCCGGAACGAAAACCUAUUUACUCCCUUCAGGACGGCCUCGACGCGGAUAGAACAAAAGUAAUAUAAAUCCCAGGCGCUGCCACUGUUUAUCUUUCGUUUUUUACCGAGGCUUUUCUUAAAUAAACCUUUCGAUACAGAAAAGCGUAAUUUCAGAAACGCGUUUUAUUUAAACGCGGCUUUAACGCGAGGUGCUGAGAGCGCUUAUUUUUUUAAUAGACAGGCAGAGACUAAAGCGAAAGAAGACGUUUUUAAUAUCCGAACAUCACCUUGCCAAGGCUCUGCUGAUUGCAAUCCCUCUCCUUAACAACACUACGGAGAUCUAUUAAAAUGAAACCAGAGAUUAGAAAAUUAAAGCGGAGCUUAUGAAUUCCCUGGGCUUUCUCCAGCGACCGAGAGCGUUCCGUUUUGCUGUUCCGUGCUCUUUUUGUCCUCCAACGCGCACUUUUGCUCAGAACCUCCCCGGAAAAAGGGCUCCUCUCCUCUCUGCUCAGCCGCUGCCUUCGCCAAAAUCUAUUUCUGCCGCUUCGGCCGCGUUCCGCGCUGCCACAGCCCCACGUCCCGUGAAAGCGUUUGUUGGCACUCCGUCCGCUGGGUUUGGGGGUGGCUUUUCGUUGUUGUUGUUUGGGUUGGCUUUUUUUUUUUUUUUUUAGAAGUUCAUUGUUAACAGUUUCCUAGAAAUAGCCUUCCCGUCUGCGAUAAAACGGCAUUGUGCAGCCUCACGUCCCCGGGUCCCUGGCGCCACGAGAGCCCCUUUGAGCCCAACCCAGAGCCCGGAGGAACCCCUCUGCUCUCGGCGGAGAUACCUAUUUCGAGAGGGAAACGUUCACCAAAGUUUUCCCGUUUGUUUUGCUGGCAUUCGGCUCUUCUUGGGAGAGCCCGCACCGACCCCAGAGCCUUCGGGCUCCCACGUGAAGCUUCAGCCCCUCGCAAUUAGCGCGGCCGCUCUCAGAGGAUGUGAACGGCUGAUUGGAGCCGGGUGUGUUGUUAAUUAAGGGGAAAAAAAAAAAAAACAAAAAGCAAAACAAAAAAAAACCCAACCAAAAAUACCCCAAACCCCACCACAACCUUGAAUACGGGAACGCCACUUUGUUCCUUUUCUUUUCUUUUUUUUAUUUUCUUUUAUUUUCUUUUUUUUUUUAAUUCAGCUCGUUAACGUGAUGGUUCUGUCAGAGUCUAUCAUCUCUUGUAUCCUUUCCCCCCCCCCCCCCUCCCCUCCUCGUUCCUCUGCUUUAUUCCUUCGGAAAGAAAAGGCUGGGAGCUAUUUCCGAACGCCUUUGAGCUUGUCCCUUCAGGAGGGCGAGAAGGGCAUUUGCCUCUUAGCUGAUUGAACCUCAGAUUCGGCAGCGGUCUGCCGAAAGUCAAACGUGCCGGGCCGCGGCCGGAUCGCCGACCGGUCUGCACGCCAAAGUCCUGUAAGGAUAAGGCUGUGCCCCUGCGCGGAAAUACGGCAAUACGACAGGGGGAGGCUGAGGCUGCGGUAGAGUGGGUGCUGCCGCGCUCUCCCCACGGCAGAAAUAGCACCUCCGAAACGACGGGCGGCGAGGAAUUUUGUUUAUUUUAUAAGGUGUCGCGUUGAAGAAAAGGCGUAGUGCCAUCAGGGCGUUCCUGCCCCCCCAGCCGAGGGCAAAAUCAUCCGGGGAAUCCGAGCCCCCCGGCCGAGUCGCCGGCUCUUUCUAUGAAAACAUGGCACACGGAGCUCUGGGCAGCGUGACAGUUGCGCUGUUGAAAGAAGCGGGGUCACGGUGCCGUAGCCGAUAUAUGUAUAUAUAUAUUUUUCCCCUUUAAAUACAAACUAUUCUUCAAUCUCCCCGCCGUGUAACGGAGAGAUAUAAAACAUGCAGCCCGAGCGCUUAAAGACGCCCUAAAUAAAAUGCUGGAAUCGAGUAAAUGAAAGCAAUUUGACUAAAAGCUUCCCGGGCUCCAGCCUAUUUUUAAAGGCAGAUAUUCCUCGCAAUACCUUUGUUACUGAAGGCAUCUGCGAAAUAUCCAGCCUCUCCCAUCCCAUCCCCCCCCAUAAUGAGACACAAACACGGCAAAUUGCAACGAUGGGAAUCGUCAGCGCGCUCGAGAAAAACAUCAUAUCACGAGUAAUAAGGUUUAGGGAGAUAAGGCGGUGAAAUGAAAGCCCACCGGCACGUCUGGUA